rnacentral:rRNA from 1 species
GACGAAGGAUGCAAGCGUUAUCCGGAUUCAUUGGGUUUAAAGGGUGCGUAGGCGGACCUGUAAGUCAGUGGUGAAAUCUCUUUGCUUAACAAAGAAACUGCCAUUGAUACUGCAAGUCUAGAGUAUAGAUGACGUUGGCGGAAUAUGACAUGUAGUGGUGAAAUACUUAGAUAUGUCAUAGAACACCGAUUGCGAAGGCAGCUAACGAAACUAUAACUGACGCUGAGGCACGAAAGUGCGGGGAUCAAACAGGAUUAGAUACCCUGCUAGUCCGCACCGUAAACGAUGAUUAGUCGUUGUUGGCAAUAUGACCGUCAGCGACCAAGCGAAAGCGAUAAGUAAUCCGCCUGGGGCGUACGCCGGCAACGGUG